AUGGGCUCUUCUGAGAAAGAAUUUCAAACUAUUUUGUGUAACACUGGCAAUGUAAUUGAAGAGAUGAAAGUUUAGCAGAUUUUUUGGUUUGCAGGACCUCAAAGCAGUAUAUCUAACAUACUAAUUCUGCAGUAUGUAUGAAAGCACAUCAACAGGUGCACUGCAUCCCAGCGAGAUAAGGAAAUGUCUUUAUUUUGUGCCUGGGGAGCUCAAUCAAAGGUAUCAACCAGAGCCCCUAAAAGCACUGCUGGCCUCAGAAGUUUGUGGUUGCAUUAUAAUUUCCUGUAACACCUUUUUCCCAGAAAAGGAAUUUCCAUCAACUGUGAGAAACACCAUACUCAAGCUAUAGUUCACAUCCAUGUUUAUUUGUCCUGGUCUCAAAGGAGAGGAAUUAUGAGCUGAGGAGAUGAAGAUUGCCUAUAGCAUUGGUAUAGGGGUGCUGCAAUAACUCUUUCCAUUUCUGCUUUAUUAAGAAUACUCCUGCUAGUGAGUGCCUUUUUCCAAGUAGAGUGAUACAAACUACUUCUCUUGGUUAAGAAAAGAAUGUUUCCAGUUUCUGACAAGAGGAAAUGUCCCAAGCACAGACAGAGAAGUGAGAUCAAGAUUGUUGUGUCUUUCCUUAAAUUUCAAUACCUACUUGAAUGCUGACGUUGUCC
ensembl:lncRNA